rnacentral:rRNA from 1 species
AGUGAACGCUGGCGGUAGGCCUAACACAUGCAAGUCGAACGGCAGCACAGUAAGAGCUUGCUCUUACGGGUGGCGAGUGGCGGACGGGUGAGGAAUACAUCGGUAUCUACUUUUUCGUGGGGGAUAACGUAGGGAAACUUACGCUAAUACCGCAUACGACCUACGGGUGAAAGCAGGGGAUCUUCGGACCUUGCGCGAUUGAAUGAGCCGAUGUCGGAUUAGCUAGUUGGCGGGGUAAAGGCCCACCAAGGCGACGAUCCGUAGCUGGUCUGAGAGGAUGAUCAGCCACACUGGAACUGGGACACGGUCCAGACUCCUACGGGAGGCAGCAGUGGGGAAUAUUGGACAAUGGGCGCAAGCCUGAUCCAGCCAUACCGCGUGGGUGAAGAAGGCCUUCGGGUUGUAAAGCCCUUUUGUUGGGAAAGAAAAGCAGCAGGUUAAUACCCCGCUGUUCUGACGGUACCCAAAGAAUAAGCACCGGCUAACUUCGUG